UACGUAGGGCGCAAGCGUUGUCCGGAAUUAUUGGGCGUAAAGAGCUCGUAGGCGGCCUGUUGCGUCCGCUGUGAAAUCCCGGGGCUUAACCCCGGGCGUGCAGUGGAUACGGGCAGACUAGAGGUAUGCAGGGGAGAACGGAAUUCCUGGUGUAGCGGUGAAAUGCGCAGAUAUCAGGAGGAACACCGGUGGCGAAGGCGGUUCUCUGGGCAUUACCUGACGCUGAGGAGCGAAAGUGUGGGGAGCGAACAGG
rnacentral:rRNA from 1 species